ACGUACGCUGGCGGCACGCCUAACACAUGCAAGUCGAACGAAGUAGCAAUACUUAGUGGCAGACGGGUGAGUAACAUGUAGGUAUCUGCCCUUUGGCCUGGAAUAACACGAGGAAACUUGUGCUAAUACCGGAUAAGUCUUUACGGAGAAAGCUUUAUGCACCAUUGGAUGAGCCUGCACUUGAUUAGUUUGUUGGUGGGGUAAUGGCCUACCAAGACUGUGAUCAAUAGCUGAUUUGAGAGGAUGAUCAGCCACAUUGGGACUGAGACACGGCCCAAACUCCUACGGGAGGCAGCAGUGGGGAAUCUUGCACAAUGGAGGAAACUCUGAUGCAGCGAUGCCGCGUGAGUGAAGAAGGCCCUUGGGUUGUAAAGCUCUUUCGUCGGGGAAGAAAAUGACUGUACCCGAAUAAGAAGGUCCGGCUAACUUCGUGCCAGCAGCCGCGGUAAUACGAAGGGACCUAGCGUAGUUCGGAAUUACUGGGCUUAAAGAGUUCGUAGGUGGUUGAAAUAGUUGGUGGUGAAAUCCCAGAGCUUAACUCUGGAACUGCCCAUCAAAACUUUUCAGCUAGAGUAUGAUAGAGGAAAGCAGAAUUUCUAGUGUAGAGGUGAAAUUCGUAGAUAUUAGAAAGAAUACCAAUUGCGAAGGCAGCUUUCUGGAUCAUUACUGACACUGAGGAACGAAAGCAUGGGUAGCGAAGAGGAUUAGAUACCCUCGUAGUCCAUGCCGUAAACGAUGUGUGUUAGACGUUGGAAAUUUAUUUUCAGUGUCGCAGGGAAACCGAUAAACACACCGCCUGGGGAGUACGACCGCAAGGUUAAAACUCAAAUGAAUUGACGGGGACCCGCACAAGUAGUGGAGCAUGUGGUUUAAUUCGAAGAUACGCGCAGAACCUUACCAACACUUGACAUGUUCGUCGCGACUCUAAGAGAUUAGAGUUUUCGGUUCGGCCGGACGAAACACAGGUGCUGCAUGGCUGUCGUCAGCUCGUGUCGUGAGAUGUUGGGUUAAGUCCCGCAACGAGCGCAACCCUCACUUUUAGUUGCCAUCAUUAAGUUGGGCACUCUGAAAGAACUGCCAGUGAUAAGCUGGAGGAAGGUGGGGAUGACGUCAAGUCCUCAUGGCCCUUACGUGUUGGGCUACACACGUGCUACAAUGGUAUCUACAACAGGAAGCAAGACUGCGAAGUUAAGCAAAUCCCUAAAAGAUACCUCAGUUCGGAUUGCACUCUGCAACUCGAGUGCAUGAAGCUGGAAUUACUAGUAAUCGUGGAUCAGCGUGCCACGGUGAAUGCGUUCCCGGGUCUUGUACACACCGCC
rnacentral:rRNA from 1 species